rnacentral:rRNA from 1 species
CGGGAGUGAAGCUAGCGGCGGACGGGUGAGUAACACGUGGGCAACCUGCCUCAUAGAGGGGAAUAGCCUUCCGAAAGGAAGAUUAAUACCGCAUAAGAUUGUAGCUUCGCAUGAAGUAGCAAUUAAAGGAGCAAUCCGCUAUGAGAUGGGCCCGCGGCGCAUUAGCUAGUUGGUGAGGUAACGGCUCACCAAGGCGACGAUGCGUAGCCGACCUGAGAGGGUGAUCGGCCACAUUGGGACUGAGACACGGCCCAGACUCCUACGGGAGGCAGCAGUGGGGAAUAUUGCACAAUGGGGGAAACCCUGAUGCAGCAACGCCGCGUGAGUGAUGACGGCCUUCGGGUUGUAAAGCUCUGUCUUCAGGGACGAUAAUGACGGUACCUGAGGAGGAAGCCACGGCUAACUACGUGCCAGCAGCCGCGGUAAUACGUAGGUGGCGAGCGUUGUCCGGAUUUACUGGGCGUAAAGGGAGCGUAGGCGGACUUUUAAGUGAGAUGUGAAAUACCCGGGCUCAACUUGGGUGCUGCAUUUCAAACUGGAAGUCUAGAGUGCAGGAGAGGAGAAUGGAAUUCCUAGUGUAGCGGUGAAAUGCGUAGAGAUUAGGAAGAACACCAGUGGCGAAGGCGAUUCUCUGGACUGUAA